rnacentral:misc_RNA from 2 species
AACAUCUCAAAUCUCUCUUCGCUUGCGUCGAGAGAAUUGGAUUUGAGCGAUCCCGACUCCUUCGUCAGAAAGAGGAGGGUCGCUUGAAAUGCAGGUACCAGCUGGACAUUCUUCUGAGCUAAAAGCAUAUCUAUUUAGUCCCGUCAAACGGAUUAUUACUUUUGCUUCAGCUAAUAUAAAGGUCGAAUGAACUACCAACGCUGAUUGCAGGAAAACUUGUUCGUUUAUUCGGACUUGUAA